CCACGGUCCCUAACCGCGCCCCUUUCCUCCUCCCCCCGCUACCUGCCGUCUUCUGUAAUGUGAUGCUGCUGAGUGACAAACUGACAGCCGGGUGCCAUCGUCAUGAAGAGGCAGAAGCUCUCUGGGGCGCAGUACAAAAACAAAUACAAGAAGAGGAGGAGAAACGUGAACGAGACCGAGAUGCACUUCUGAAGUAUUUGUCCCCCACCUCUGCAAAUCCUGGGCCUACUAAUGUAACUGCAGCCACCUCAUCCACCUCAGCACCAAGUGAUGCAGCCUCAAGUGGAUUUCCCUCCCACACACAAACUGCCAGUGGAGAAAAGUGCAGCAAAUAUCUUGCGUAGGGUGCCAAAUUGGUCAGGCACGGCCCUGCUUCUAAAAUUUCAUAUAACCUAUGAAGGAUUUUUUUAAAAUUGACAUUUCUACUCUGAUGAAAUUAUGAAUGUGUUAUAAUGUAAUUUGAAGUGACUUAACCUUUAUAGAAACAGUUUGUCAGAAAGUGUGUAGUUAAAUCAUAUGAACCUUUGAAAGAUCAUAAAAAAAGACAGGUCAAAGAUGUUAAAGAUGUCAGCUAUUGGGGCACCAACAGUCAUGAAGGCAGACAUGAAGAGAAAUAAAGUUCUAUGAUGAUUAAAAAAGCUAAAAUAAUGAACGGCUUUGGAUCUAUGAAAAGACAGUGGUCUUAAAACUUGGCCACCAAACUCCAAGACAACUGAAACACUGAUUAUAAACAAGCUGCUCAUAAAGUGGCUCAUUAACACAGACACAAACAGAUAAGCCUCGACAAACACACACAUUCAUUUACUGCUGGUUUCACUGCUUCGAUCACUGAGAAUCAUUACAAGAUUGUGAUAAUAUUAUUGCUACUCUGAUUCAGUUCCUGCAGGUUGUAAUUCGAAUAAUACUUAUUCUACCUACAGUAUAUAAAUGUAUCCAUAAAUUAAAUUAAAUUAAAGUUAACUUUUACCUAAUUAAAGCACCUAUAAAUAAGUUAUGGAUGUGUGUGCGUCCUGAUGACCUUGUGAUGUUUUUAUUUGAUAUGAAUCUAUGGAGGAAAUCGUCUUGAAUGUGCAAGUGUAAGAGAUAGUGAGGUUGCUGAAUGGCGGAGGUGAUAAAUGUGUUAUCUCUUGGGUAAUCAGAAACAGAGAAGAAGAAGAAGAAGAAGAAGAAGCAGUUCAGCGCAGUUCUCAGAAGACACUGUUACACAUCUUUGUCAUAUUUUGGUGUGUUAAAUAUUUUGAGUUUUGUCUCAAAGAGGAGGCUGAGAUGACUUUGGACCAUGACAGCGUGCCUGAUGCUUCAUCCAGGAAGGACAGACUCUUCAGACUGGUUGCUCUGAGCUUUGGACUCCUGUGUAUCCUACAAGCUGCUGCCAACAUUUCCCUGCUUCUUGCUCUCUAUGCAAAAAUGCUAGAUUAUGAGGCCAUUAUCAAAAAUCUGACUGAAGAGGGAGAAGAUUUGAAGAGGAAGAUGAUCACCUUUGGAAUUUGCAAGAAAGUUCAAAGGGCUCAGGUGGAUUGGACUGACUGACAGUGAGACAGAGGGGACAUGGACAUGGGUGGAUGGGACUGCACUGAACACAAGCUACUGGAACGCUGGGGAGCCCAACAGCUAUCAAGGCAUUGAUGAAGACUGUGGAGAAAUAAGGCUUUAUGACAGGGAAUACAACUGGAAUGAUUCACCAUGUAAAUAGCUAAACUUCUGGAUCUGUGAGUAGGU